GACGAACGCUGGCUGCGUGCUUAACACAUGCAAGUCGAACGGAAAGGCCCUGCUUGCAGGGUACUCGAGUGGCGAACGGGUGAGUAACACGUGGGUGAUCUGCCCUGCACUUCGGGAUAAGCCUGGGAAACUGGGUCUAAUACCGGAUAGGAGCCAUUUUUAGUGUGAUGGUUGGAAAGUUUUUUCGGUGUAGGAUGAGCUCGCGGCCUAUCAGCUUGUUGGUGGGGUAAUGGCCUACCAAGGCGGCGACGGGUAGCCGGCCUGAGAGGGUGGACGGCCACAUUGGGACUGGGAUACGGCCCAGACUCCUACGGGAGGCAGCAGUGGGGAAUAUUGCACAAUGGGCGCAAGCCUGAUGCAGCGACGCCGCGUGGGGGAUGACGGCCUUCGGGUUGUAAACUCCUUUCGCUAGGGACGAAGCUUUUUGUGACGGUACCUAGAUAAGAAGCACCGGCUAACUACGUG
rnacentral:rRNA from 1 species